CUAUGGCUUAAAUUAAGUCAUGGCGAAAGGAG
ncrna:unclassified sequences L31-Firmicutes ribosomal protein leader